rnacentral:rRNA from 1 species
UCUAAGAUUAAGCCAUGCAUGUUUCCGCAAUCAGGGACGAAUAGCUCAGUAAAACUGCGAUGAUUUAGUCUGGCUGUGUAGAUAACUACGUGAAAAUGUAGCUAAGGGAAGGCAGAAUAAGACGCAGGACUAUCAGUUAGUUGGUAGUGUAAUGGACUACCAAGACAGUGACGGUUGACGGGAAAUUAGGGUUUUGUACCGGAGAGGGAGCCUGAGAGAUUGCUCCCACGUCCAAGGACGGCAGCAGGCGCGAAAAUUGCCCACUCUUUGCAGGAGGCAGUUAUGAGACGUGAAGAUGAGUAUCUUGUAAAGAGGGAUAGGAGAAUUGGAGGGCAAGUUUGGUGCCAGCAGCCGCGGUAAUACCGACUCCAAGAGUGUGUAUGAGAGAUGCUGCAGUUAAAAAGUCCGUAGUCAUAGAAGGGCAAAGAGAGAUGCGAGGUCUCACAGUGCGAUGAUGGAGGAGCCGAUGGGGAACAUAGUAUACCAGGGCGAGAGAUGAAAUGCCAAGACCCCUGGUGGACUGAGCGAGGCGAAGGCGAUGUUCUUGUAGGCAUUCGGUGAUCAAGGACGAAGGCUGGAGUAUCGAAAGUGAUUAGAUACCGCAGUAGUUCCAGCA